GAUCUUGGGUUUAAUGGGGCUCCCUACAGGAGCACCUGGCUCCUUCAGCCUACUAGUAGUGCUCUGGUAAAUGCUACAGAGUGGCCACCCUUUGUGGUGACACUGGAUGAAGUGGAGCUGAUCCAUUUUGAGAGGGCUCAAUUUCACCUGAAGAACUCUGAAAUGGUGAUUGUCUACAAAGAUUACAGCAAGUCAUAAUGAUCAAUGCUAUUCCUGUUGCCUCUCUAGACCCCAUCAAGGAGUGGCUAAAUUCCUGUGACCUAAAGUACACAGGAGGAGUUCAGUCCCUCAACUGGACUAAAAUUAUGAAGACCAUUGUUGAUGACCCCGAGGGCUUCUUUGAAGAAGGUGGCUGGUCUUUCCUGGAACCUGAGGGUGAGGGGAGUGAUGCUGAGGAUGGAGAUUCUGAGUCUGAAAUUGAAGAUGAGACUUUCAAUCCUUCUGAGGAUGACUAUGAAGAGGAAGAAGAGGACAGUGAUGAAGAUUAUUCAUCAGAAGCUGAAGAAUCAGACUAUUCUAAGGAAUCUCUGGGAAGUGAAGACGAAAGUGGGAAGGACUGGGAUGAGCUAGAAGAAGAAGCGACGAAAAGCAGACCGUGAAAGCCAUUACGAGGAGGAAGAACAGAGCCGAAGUAUGAGCCGGAAGAGGAAGGCAUCUGUACAUAGUUCAGGCCGUGG